GGUUGCGAUCAUACCAGCA
rnacentral:rRNA from 1 species